UACGAAGGGGGCUAGCGUUGCUCGGAAUCACUGGGCGUAAAGCGCACGUAGGCGGACUCUUAAGUCGGUGGUGAAAUCCUGGAGCUCAACUCCAGAACUGCCUUCGAUACUGGGAGUCUUGAGUCCGGGAGAGGUGAGUGGAACUGCGAGUGUAGAGGUGAAAUUCGUAGAUAUUCGCAAGAACACCAGUGGCGAAGGCGGCUCACUGGCUCGUAACUGACGCUCAUGCACGACAGCGUGGGGAUCAAACAGG
rnacentral:rRNA from 1 species